rnacentral:rRNA from 1 species
GACGAAGGGGGCUAGCGUUGUUCGGAAUUACUGGGCGUAAAGCGCGCGUAGGCGGAUCGAUCAGUCAGGGGUGAAAUCCCAGGGCUCAACCCUGGAACUGCCUUUGAUACUGUCGAUCUGGAGUAUGGAAGAGGUGAGUGGAAUUCCGAGUGUAGAGGUGAAAUUCGUAGAUAUUCGGAGGAACACCAGUGGCGAAGGCGGCUCACUGGUCCAUUACUGACGCUGAGGUGCGAAAGCGUGGGGAGCAAACGGG